rnacentral:ncRNA from 1 species
GACAAGCGCCAGGACUGAACCGCAAAAGGUGCGGCAACAGUUGACGAGGUCGAAAGCGAUCGAAAAACUCGGCGGAAGCUUUCGUGGUUUGAAGGGGAAGCCAUAAAACUCUGCGACAAAAAGGUCGAGCGAUCGGCGUGACAAAGAGCGGAGCAC